CCUACGGGCGGCAGCAGUGAGGAAUAUUGGUCAAUGGCCGGAAGGCUGAACCAGCCAUGCCGCGUGAAGGUCAGUGCCCUAUGGGCGUUAAACUUCCUUUGUGCGGGAGCAAUAAUGGUCACGUGUGGCCAGACGAGAGUACCGUACGAAUAAGCAUCGGCUAACUCCGUGCCAGCAGCCGCGGUAAUACGGGGGAUGCAAGCGUUAUCCGGGUUUAGUGGGUUUAAAGGGUGCGUAGGCUGUGAGGUAAGUCAGCUGUGGAAAGCCUCCGCUCAACGGGGUGAAUUGCCAUUGAUACUGCCUGGCUUGAAUGCGGAUGCCGUGGGAGGAAUGUGUGGUGUAGCGGUGAAAUGCAUAGAUAUCACACAGAACACCGAUUGCGAAGGCAUCUCACGAAUCCGCGAUUGACGCUGAUGCACGAAAGCGUGGGUAUCAAACAGGAUUAGAUACCCUGGUAGUC
rnacentral:rRNA from 1 species